GACGAAAGCGGGCGGCGUGCUUAACACAUGCAAGUCGAACGGAAAGGCCCUGCUUUUGUGGGGUGCUCGAGUGGCGAACGGGUGAGUAACACGUGAGUAACCUGCCCUUGACUUUGGGAUAACUUCAGGAAACUGGGGCUAAUACCGGAUAGGAGCUCCUGCUGCAUGGUGGGGGUUGGAAAGUUUCGGCGGUUGGGGAUGGACUCGCGGCUUAUCAGCUUGUUGGUGGGGUAGUGGCUUACCAAGGCUUUGACGGGUAGCCGGCCUGAGAGGGUGACCGGCCACAUUGGGACUGAGAUACGGCCCAGACUCCUACGGGAGGCAGCAGUGGGGAAUAUUGCACAAUGGGCGGAAGCCUGAUGCAGCAACGCCGCGUGCGGGAUGACGGCCUUCGGGUUGUAAACCGCUUUCGCCUGUGACGAAGCGUGAGUGACGGUAAUGGGUAAAGAAGCACCGGCUAACUACGUG
rnacentral:rRNA from 1 species